rnacentral:rRNA from 1 species
UUGAACGCUGGCGGCAUGCUAACACAUGCAAGUCGAACGGCAGCAUGACCUAGCUUGCUAAGUUGAUGGCGAGUGGCGAACGGGUGAGUAACGCGUAGGAAUAUGCCUUAAAGUGGGGGACAACUUGGGGAAACUCAAGCUAAUACCGCAUAAUCUCUAAGGAGAAAAGCUGGGGACCUUCGGGCCUGGCGCUUUAAGAUUAGCCUGCGUCCGAUUAGCUAGUUGGUAGGGUAAAGGCCUACCAAGGCGACGAUCGGUAGCUGGUCUGAGAGGAUGGCCAGCCACACUGGAACUGAGACACGGUCCAGACUCCUACGGGGGGCAGCAGUGGGGAAUAUUGGACAAUGGGGGGAACCCUGAUCCAGCAAUGCCGCGUGUGUGAAGAAGGCCUGAGGGUUGUAAAGCACUUUCAGUGGGGAGGAGGGUUAUUAGGUUAAGAGCUAGAUAAUUGGACGUUACCCACAGAAGAAGCACCGGCUAACUCCGUGCCAGCAGCCGCGGUAA